GGGAUGUUAGCUCAGUCGGUUUAGAGCGCAUGCUUCACACGCAUGAGGUCACUGGUUCGAAUCCAGUACGUCCCA
rnacentral:tRNA from 1 species